AUAAUCUACCUGAUGAUCUGGGAUAACAUUUCGAAAGGGGUGCUAAUACCGGAUAAGCCCACGAGGUCUUCGGAUCUUGCGGGAAAAGGGGGGACCUUCGGGCCUUCUGUCAUCAGAUGAGUCUACGUACCAUUAGCUAGUUGGUGGGGUAAAGGCCUACCAAGGCUUCGAUGGUUAGCUGGUCUGAGAGGAUGAUCAGCCACACUGGAACUGAGACACGGUCCAG
rnacentral:rRNA from 1 species